GGGGGGAUCGAGGGUCAUGGGGAUGUAUGUAUGGGGGGUGGGGCAUUUGAAGUCUUAGCUCCACAAAUGCCUUUUUUCAAAAAAAAUAUUUGUAGAUUGCUACAAAUUAACUGCAAGCAAACCUCUAUUUGGGUCAACAAUAGGGGUGGACCCAGGCUAGAAACUGAAUAAUGGCCACCAGAAAAUUCCAUAGGAAUUGCAAAAUUUGAGUGGCAAACCAUGCUAGGUCCGCCCCGUUCGGCAAUAAGACAAGCAAUGAAAGGUAAAGAAACCCUAUCUAGUUUCAUAACGAUUGGACUCAUGUGCAUCAACCUAUCUAUCUUUGUCUAAGCUCUUCAUACAUAUGCCAGCCUUAUCAUGCUUCUUCACACUGGUAGAGAAUUGGCCUUUAGUCCCGGUUGAUAGGAUGCAAAUCUCCCGAAAAUCCAUUCGGGAUAAACCAACCGAGACAAAAGAGGGGGGUCUUUUGUCCCGGGUCACUUAACCGGGACUAAAGACCCCCUUUUAUUCCGGUUGGUAAUACCAACCGGGAUAAACAGGUCACCAUGCCAAGCGCUGCAAAAAAAAAAUCCUGGGAGGGCC
rnacentral:lncRNA from 1 species